GAUGAACGCUGGCGGCGUGCCUAAUACAUGCAAGUCGAGCGAAUGGAUUAAGAGCUUGCUCUUAUGAAGUUAGCGGCGGACGGGUGAGUAACACGUGGGUAACCUGCCCAUAAGACUGGGAUAACUCCGGGAGACCGGGGCUAAUACCGGAUAACAUUUUGAACCGCAUGGUUCGAAAUUGAAAGGCGGCUUCGGCUGUCACUUAUGGAUGGACCCGCGUCGCAUUAGCUAGUUGGGGAGGUAACGGCUCACCAAGGCAACGAUGCGUAGCCGCACUGAGGGGGUGAGCGGCCACACUGGGACUGAGACACGGCCCAGACUCCAACGGGAGGCAGCAGUAGGGAAUCGUCCGCAAUGGACGAAAGUUUGAGGGAGCAACGCCGCGUGAGUGAUGAAGGCUUUCGGGUCGUAAAACUCUGUUGUUAGGGAAGAACAAGUGCUAGUUGAAUAAGCUGGCACCUUGACGGUACCUAACCAGAAAGCCACGGCUAACUACGUGCCAGCAGCCGCCGUAA
rnacentral:rRNA from 1 species